AUUGAACGCUGGCGGCAUGCUUUACACAUGCAAGUCGAACGGCAGCGCGGGCUUCGGCCUGGCGGCGAGUGGCGAACGGGUGAGUAAUGCAUCGGAACGUGCCCAGUAGUGGGGGAUAGCCCGGCGAAAGCCGGAUUAAUACCGCAUACGACCUGCGGGUGAAAGCGGGGGACCGAAAGGCCUCGCGCUAUUGGAGCGGCCGAUGUCGGAUUAGCUAGUUGGUGGGGUAAAGGCUUACCAAGGCGACGAUCCGUAGCUGGUCUGAGAGGACGACCAGCCACACUGGAACUGAGACACGGCCCAGACUCCUACGGGAGGCAGCAGUGGGGAAUAUUGGACAAUGGGGGCAAGCCUGAUCCAGCCAUGCCGCGUGCGGGAAGAAGGCCUUCGGGUUGUAAACCGCUUUUGUUCGGGAAGAAAUCCUCUGGGCUAAUACCCCGGGGGGAUGACGGUACCGGAAGAAUAAGCACCGGCUAACUACGUG
rnacentral:rRNA from 1 species